AGGGAAUUUUCCACAAUGGACGAAAGUCUGAUGGAGCAACGCCGCGUGAACGAUGAAGGUCUUCGGAUUGUAAAGUUCUGUUGUCAGGGACGAACAAGUACCGUUCGAACAGGGCGGUACCUUGACGGUACCUGACGAGAAAGCCACGGCUAACUACGUGCCAGCAGCCGCGGUAAUACGUAGGUGGCAAGCGUUGUCCGGAUUUAUUGGGCGUAAAGCGCGCGCAGGCGGCUAUGUAAGUGUGGUGUUAAAGCCCGGGGCUCAACCCCGGUUCGCAUCGGAAACUGCAGAGCUUGAGUGCAGAAGAGGAAAGCGGUAUUCCACGUGUAGCGGUGAAAUGCGUAGAGAUGUGGAGGAACACCAGUGGCGAAGGCGGCUUUCUGGUCUGUAACUGACGCUGAGGCGCGAAAGCGUGGGGAGCAAAC
rnacentral:rRNA from 1 species